GAGUUUGAUCAUGGCUCAGGACGAACGCUGGCGGCGUGCCUAACACAUGCAAGUCGAGCGAGAUGAUCCCUUCGGGGAGAUUCUAGCGGCGGACGGGUGAGUAACACGUGGGUAACCUGCCUCAAAGAGGGGGAUAGCCUCCCGAAAGGGAGAUUAAUACCGCAUAACAUUAUUUCUUCGCAUGAAGAGAUAAUCAAAGGAGUAAUCCGCUUUGAGAUGGACCCGCGGCGCAUUAGCUAGUUGGUGAGGUAAUGGCUCACCAAGGCAACGAUGCGUAGCCGACCUGAGAGGGUGAUCGGCCACAUUGGAACUGAGAUACGGUCCAGACUCCUACGGGAGGCAGCAGUGGGGAAUAUUGCGCAAUGGGGGAAACCCUGACGCAGCAACGCCGCGUGGGUGAAGAAGGCCUUCGGGUUGUAAAGCUCUGUCUUCUGGGACGAUAAUGACGGUACCAGAGGAGGAAGCCACGGCUAACUACGUGCCAGCAGCCGCGGUAA
rnacentral:rRNA from 1 species